UUUCCUGCAGCUCAGUGGUAGAGCGUUCGUUCGUUCGUUCGUUCGGUGUGCGGAAGGUCAUAGGUUCGACUCCUAUUGGGGGAA